rnacentral:rRNA from 1 species
GUCCACGCCGUAAACGUUGGGCACUAGGUGUGGGGCCUUAUCAACGGGUUCCGUGCCGUAGCUAACGCAUUAAGUGCCCCGCCUGGGGAGUACGGCCGCAAGGCUAAAACUCAAAGGAAUUGACGGGGGCCCGCACAAGCGGCGGAGCAUGUUGCUUAAUUCGAUGCAACGCGAAGAACCUUACCUGGGUUGAACUACGCAGGAAAAGCUGCAGAGAUGUAGUGUCCGAAAGGGCCUGCGAUAGGUGGUGCAUGGCUGUCGU